UACGUAGGGGGCAAGCGUUGUCCGGACUCAUUGGGCGUAAAGAGCGUGUAGGCGGCCAGGUAGGUCGGUUGUGAAAACUGGAGGCUCAACCUUCAGAGGUCGACCGAAACCAUCUGGCUAGAGUCCGGGAGAGGAGAGUGGAAUCCCUGGUGUAGCGGUGAAAUGCGCAGAUAUCAGGAAGAACACCCGUGGCGAAAGCGGCUCUCUGGAACGGUACUGACGCUGAGACGCGAAAGCGUGGGGAGCGAACAGG
rnacentral:rRNA from 1 species